CCUUGAUGAUUAUCAGGGGAUUAAUGAUGAGGGUUUUUCUCAAAAUGCAUACAAAUCACAGGCUGUGAGCUGCACAACAGAAGAUUAAGCAUCAAGCAGAGCACUAUUGCAGCCCUCUCUGACAAUCUGAGGGCACGGAUGAGAGUCGUGGAUAAAUUAUUCACAAGAGGUGCUUCUUGUGGGUUUAAAAAAGGAGAAAGAGGAAAACUGACAAAACUGAAUGGUCAGGCACACCAUUGGGACUUGACUGGAUCUCCUGAAGUAAAGCUCAUGACACUUCAUGUCAGACAUUUAACAAGGCCAAGUGAUACAAGCUAUACGAAACUAUUUCUACAUGAUCAUUUCAAUUAAUAAGAAAGUAAAAAUUACAACACGACAACAUUGCUACUUCUACUAGCCUGAUGCCAA
rnacentral:lncRNA from 1 species